rnacentral:lncRNA from 1 species
AAGUUAUCAGUACAAGUUUAAACCCUGAAAUUACAUAAUGUGCCAGCCAACAAUUGGCUUCUAAGAUACAAAUCUAACAGAGGAUGUAAUACCAUUAGCCUAGUUAUCAUCGAUGCCCAUACUAUCUUUGGGAUCAUUUUUGUACUUGCCACUUAUCCAAAGGCUCUCUAAGAACUCUUCAAAUUAUGGCUUAUCUUAUACAAAAAUAAAAUAUUUUGAGAAUGGCCCA